rnacentral:tRNA from 1 species
CGGCCGCCAGGCCGGUUCCUCAGCCGGUCGCCCUUGCGGCGGCCCGAUCCCCGAAGGGGUCGCACACCCCGUGCGAGCCUGCGACGUUCGGCC